UAAUACGUAGGGUGCAAGCGUUGUUCGGAAUCAUUGGGCGUAAAGCGCGUGUAGGUGGUUUUUUAAGUCGAUUGUGAAAUCCCUGGGCUCAACCGAGGAAGUGCAGUCGAAACUAAUUGACUAGAAGAUGGUAGAGGAAGGUGGAAUUCCAAGUGUAGAGGUGAAAUUCGUAGAUAUUUGGAGGAAUACCGGCGGCGAAGGCGGCCUUCUGGGCCAUUCUUGACACUGAGACGCGAAAGCGUGGGUAGCAAACAGGAUUAGAUACCCUGGUAGUCCACGCUGUAAACGAUGAGUACUAGGUGUUGUGGGAAUUGACCCCUACAGUGCCGCAGCUAACGCAUUAAGUACUCCGCCUGGGAAGUACGGCCGCAAGGUUA
rnacentral:rRNA from 1 species